ensembl:snRNA U6 U6 spliceosomal RNA
GUGCUUGAUUCAGCAGCUCAUAUACUAAAAUUGGAAUGAUACAGAGACUAGUAUAGCCCCUGAGCAAGGAUGACACCAAAAUCCCUGUUCAUUUUU